rnacentral:lncRNA from 1 species
UUUUAGUGAGGAUCUCUUCUAACAUGGACAAUAGUGUUGGCUUAAUUUCCUGUUGCAAUAAGCUGCCCCAUGUUGCUAGUACUAUUCAGUGGUGGUAUUAAGAUUUAAGCAUCCUCUUAUAUUGUUAAAAGAAGAUUUAAAGUUGGCUAACAUGCAUGUAUGAGAUGAUAUGAACUUUGAUGAGAGGCAUGAGAAAUUAUUAAGUGUAUGUUUGGUUGGUGUACUUAAGGUUGCCACUGUUUGUCACAGUGUUUAGUGUUUAGUGUUUAGCUAGUCAUUUUUUGUCUCAUGAAAUAAUUAACAUUGAUGAGAGCAUGCUCAUUGUUUGUCUCUCCUCCAUAUAGGAAAAAGUGACGUGUAAGCAUGCAUAUAUCCUUUGUUAUACUGUCCCCAACAUAGCCCCCUUCUCAUGUAGCAAUAUAGCGCCAAGAGGGGUGAUGCCUCCUCCCUCUCAUAGAAGUAACUCAUCGACGAUUUCUUGUUUGGCAUGAGACAGUUCAUCGAGGUGGUCAUGCUGCUCAGGCACACCUGCAACCCGGUCCCAUUGAUCGGCUCGGAAUCAUUGCUGAGUCGCUCUAGAACAACAUCCAUUUCUCAUUUCAUUUAAAUUAAAUUCCAGAUCGUCCUAAUAUACGUUCACAUACUUUGUUCUUUUUUCGUGUUCUGUGUGUACAAGUGAGUGACCCAUUGAUGAUCGAUCAACGAUGUUGCUUAGACGUUGAGUGAAGGGUGAUGCGUGAGGAAAUUAGGCAUUUCCAUGAAAUUUGGUCAAAAAAAUUAAUCAGGCUCUAUUCUAACAUGAACACUACUGUUGGCUUGAUUUCCUGUGUUGCAAUAAGCCACCCCAUGUUACUACUAUUCAUUGGUGGUAUUAAGGUUUAAGCAUCCUCUUAUUGUUAAAAGAAGAUUUAAAGUUGGCUAACAUGCAUGUAUGAGAUGAGAUGAACUUUGAUGAGAGGCAUGAGAAAUUAUUAAGUGUAUGUUUG